CUACGGGGCGCUGCAGUGGGGAAUAUUGCACAAUGGGCGCAAGCCUGAUGCAGCCAUGCCGCGUGUAUGAAGAAGGCCUUCGGGUUGUAAAGUACUUUCAGCGGGGAGGAAGGGAGUAAAGUUAAUACCUUUGCUCAUUGACGUUACCCGCAAAAGAAGCACCGGCUAACUCCGUGCCAGCAGCCGCGGUAAUACGGAGGGUGCAAGCGUUAAUCGGAAUUACUGGGCGUAAAGCGCACGCAGGCGGUUUGUUAAGUCAGAUGUGAAAUCCCCGGGCUCAACCUGGGAACUGCAUCUGAUACUGGCAAGCUUGAGUCUCGUAGAGGGGGGUAGAAUUCCAGGUGUAGCGGUGAAAUGCGUAGAGAUCUGGAGGAAUACCGGUGGCGAAGGCGGCCCCCUGGACGAAGACUGACGCUCAGGUGCGAAAGCGUGGGGAGCAAACAGGAUUAGAUACCCGGGUAGUC
rnacentral:rRNA from 1 species